rnacentral:rRNA from 1 species
UACGAAGGGGGCUAGCGUUGUUCGGAAUUACUGGGCGUAAAGCGCACGUAGGCGGAUUUGUAAGUCAGGGGUGAAAUCCCGGGGCUCAACCUCGGAACUGCCUUUGAUACAGCACGUCUCGAGUCCGGAAGAGGUGGGUGGAAUUCCUAGUGUAGAGGUGAAAUUCGUAGAUAUUAGGAAGAACACCGGUGGCGAAGGCGGCCCACUGGUCCGGUACUGACGCUGAGGUGCGAAAGCGUGGGGAGGCAAACAGGAAUUGAGAAACCCCUGGGUAG